CCUACGGGAGGCAGCAGUGGGGAAUUUUGCGCAAUGGGGGCAACCCUGACGCAGCAACGCCGCGUGAGUGAUGAAGGCCUUCGGGUCGUAAAGCUCUGUCAGAGGGGAAGAAAUGCAGGUGGUGAACAACCAUUCUGUUUGACGGUACCCUCAAAGGAAGCACCGGCUAACUCCGUGCCAGCAGCCGCGGUAAUACGGAGGGUGCGAGCGUUGUUCGGAAUUAUUGGGCGUAAAGCGCGUGUAGGCGGUUUGUUAAGUCGGAUGUGAAAGCCCCGGGCUCAACCUGGGAAGUGCAUUGGAUACUGGCAGACUUGAGUACGGGAGAGGAGAGUGGAAUUCCAAGGGUAGGGGUGAAAUCCGUAGAUAUGGGGAGGAACACCGGUGGCGAGGGCGGCUCUUGGGACCGAUACUGACGCUGAGACGCGAAAGCGUGGGGAGCAAACGGGAUAAGAUACCCUUGUAGU
rnacentral:rRNA from 1 species